AAUUAAAUUCUGAUAUGGCAGAUUAGUGCAAUGAAUUUAAGCUUCAUAUAUAAAGUUAUUUACUUUUAUUAGAAAAU
rnacentral:tRNA from 1 species